GACAGAGGGUGCAAACGUUGUUCGGAAUUACUGGGCGUAAAGCGCGUGUAGGCGGCCCUGCAAGUCGGAUGUGAAAUCCCACGGCUCAACCGUGGAAGUGCAUUCGAAACUGCAGGGCUAGAGUCCUGGAGAGGAAGGUGGAAUGCUUGGUGUAGAGGUGAAAUUCGUAGAUAUCAAGCGGAACACCGGUGGCGAAGGCGGCCUUCUGGACAGUGACUGACGCUGAGACGCGCAAGCGUGGGGAGCAAACAGG
rnacentral:rRNA from 1 species